rnacentral:rRNA from 1 species
AUGUUGAUCACUGGAGAUGAUGUUGGGUAUAUUGAUUUUGUUAAGAAAAAAUUGAGUGCACAAUUCCAGAUGUCAUAUUUGGGGUCUCUCAGCUAUUUUCUCGGGAUUGAGGUCGAGCAUACUGAUGAUGGUUACUAUAUCUCCCAGCAAAAGUACACUCAGGAUUUGAUUCUUUGCUCAGGUCUCACUGACACGCGCAUUGCUGCUACACCUAUGGAGCUUCAUCUGCAGUUGCGUCCUACUGAUGGCACUCCUCUUGAGGAUCCCUCUCGCUAUCGUCACAUUGUCGGCAGUCUAGUGUACCUCACAGUGACCAGACCUGACAUCGCACAUGCAGUCCAUAUUCUCAGUCAAUUUGUCUGUGCUCCCACCUCAGUUCAUCAUGGUCACCUAUUCCGAGUCCUUAGGUAUUUAAGGGGAACUACAUCUCGCCGCUUGUUCUAUGCUAAUUCCAGUCAGCUCCAGCUUCAUGCUUACUCUGAUUCCACUUGGGCGAGUGAUCCUAUUGAUCGUCGCUCGGUCACUGGCUAUUGCAUAUUUCUUGGUACAUCUCUCAUUGCAUGGAAAUCAAAGAAGCAAACUGAUGUGUCUCGCUCCAACGCCGAGGCAGAGCUUAGGGCUCUUUCUACUACUACAACAGAGAUUGUAUGGCUUCGCUGGCUAUUGGAUGAUCUUGGUGUCUUAUGUCAUACACCAACACCUCUUAUUUGUGACAACACUGCUGCUAUUCAGAUUGCUAAUGAUCCAGUCAAGCAUGAGUUGACCAAACACAUUGGUGUGGAUGCCUUUUUCACUCGAUCUCAUUGUCAACAAUUCACUGUCAAGUUACAAUAUGUCCCAUCAGAGCUUCAAGUCGCAAAUUUCUUCACCAAGGCACAAACUAGAGAUCAGCAUAGGUUUCACACUCUCAAACUUGGUGUAUCAGAUGCUCCUGACCCACCUUAA